rnacentral:rRNA from 1 species
AAUGAACGUUGGCGGCGUGGAUUAGGCAUGCGAGUCGUGCGAGAACCGUAGCAAUACGGGGACAGCGGCGAAAGGGGGAGGAAUACGUGGAUACCUACCCUCGGAUUCAGGAUAGCUAUGGGAAACUAUAGGUAAUACUGAAUGAUGUCUUCGGACCAAAGGUGUGAUUCCGUCCGAGGAGGGGUCCGCGUCCUAUUAGCUAGUUGGUGUGGUAACGGCGUACCAAGGCGAAGAUGGGUACGGGAUGUGAGAGCAUAAUCCCGCUCAUUGGGACUGAGACACUGCCCAGACACCUACGGGUGGCUGCAGUCGAGAAUCUUCGGCAAUGGGGGAAACCCUGACCGAGCGACGCCGCGUGUGAGAUGAAGGCCUUCGGGUUGUAAAUCACUGUCGUAGAGGAGGAAGUGUAGGUGGGUACUCCCACUUAUUUGACCUAUUCUAGGAGGAAGGACGGGCUAAGUUCGUGCCAGCCGCCGCAGUAA